rnacentral:rRNA from 1 species
UACGAAGGGGGCUAGCGUUGCUCGGAAUCACUGGGCGUAAAGGGUGCGUAGGCGGGUCUUUAAGUCAGGGGUGAAAUCCUGGAGCUCAACUCCAGAACUGCCUUUGAUACUGAAGAUCUUGAGUUCGGGAGAGGUGAGUGGAACUGCGAGUGUAGAGGUGAAAUUCGUAGAUAUUCGCAAGAACACCAGUGGCGAAGGCGGCUCACUGGCCCGAUACUGACGCUGAGGCGCGAAAGCUAGGGGAGCGAACGGG